UACGUAUGGUGCAAGCGUUAUCCGGAUUUACUGGGUGUAAAGGGAGCGCAGGCGGUGCGGCAAGUCUGAUGUGAAAGCCCGGGGCUCAACCCCGGUACUGCAUUGGAAACUGUCGUACUAGAGUGUCGGAGGGGUAAGCGGAAUUCCUAGUGUAGCGGUGAAAUGCGUAGAUAUUAGGAGGAACACCAGUGGCGGAGGCGGCUUACUGGACGAUAACUGACGCUGAGGCUCGAAAGCGUGGGGAGCAAACAGG
rnacentral:rRNA from 1 species